CUACCCGGGGCGCGGCUUGUAAGGGGCGAAGCCACGCCCCUCCCCGGAACAAGCCCCGCCUUCUGGCGCGCGGCCUGUGAGGGGCGAGGCCACGCCCCUCCCCCGGGGAACGGCCGCUCGAGGGGCUUCCAGGGACCUCACUUCUGGCUGAAAGCCCCAUUUAUGGUUUCAGACUGUUCCCCUGUGCUUGGAUUAUGAAAUGAAAGACUCAGAAGCUCCUCAUCUACCAACUCUACACCAUUUUUUGUGUAUUUUAAUCAGUGCCACCUCUUACUCAUCUCCCAAGAUGAAAUGUUUCAUUAUUUUAAUACAGUGAUCUUGUCCAUGCUUUUAAGUUUUCAGACUCCAGAGCCCUAACACUGCAAAUUUUGUUUUUAGAUGUGUUGACUAGUAGUACAGAAUACCAAAUAAGAUAUUAAUAAUAAAUUUAUACAGUAUAUUAUAUAGUAUUUUCAAUUCAGGUUUCAUGCCUUGAGCAACUAAAAUGGUUUGCUUUUGAGUUUACCAGCACAGUCCAUGCCUUGAAGUCAGAUUAGGACUUUAUUCUUUUAUUAAUAUUUUUCUUAGGUACGACACUUGACUUCUAAAUUUGAAUAAAAGUAUCUUCAAAACA